UACGGGGGGGGCAAGCGUUGUUCGGAAUUACUGGGCGUAAAGGGCUCGUAGGCGGCCAACUAAGUCAGACGUGAAAUCCCCCGGCUUAACCUGGGAACUGCGUCUGAUACUGGGAGGCUUGAGUAUGGGAGAGGGAUGUAGAAUUCCAGGUGUAGCGGUGAAAUGCGUAGAUAUCUGGAGGAAUACCGGUGGCGAAGGCGGCAUCCUGGACCGACAUUGACGCUGAUGAGCGAAAGCUAGGGGAGCAAACGGG
rnacentral:rRNA from 1 species